CCUUUAAUGAAGCAUGUUUGAAUCAAAGACAUUCACGUAUGAUGUUUUACUGGGAAAAGGUGCCACAGCAUGUGUAUACAAAGGAAUAUCGAAAAUUGAUUCCCAAUGUUAUGCACUCAAAGUCUUCAAUUCCAACGGUCCCUAUAUGAGAAAAUCUAUUCAGAAUGAAGUAUCAAUACUGAAGAAAUUAAACCAUGAAAACAUUGUUAGAUUCAUUGAUGUUGAGUUUUUCUCAGAUCGCGCAGUGAUUGUGAUGGAACUUUUAGAGCACGGAACACUUUUAAAUCAAUUACAAAAGCCAAAAAAUAAAUUUGGUUUCUCUGAAAGAAAGUUACUUGGAUUAUUAAAGGAUAUAAAUUCUGGUUUGAAAAUUCUCCGCCAAUUCAAGAUUGUCCAUCGUGAUAUUAAACCAAGCAACAUUUUACGAACUAUUAAUGUCAAUGGAAGGGAAAUAUAUAAGCUUUCAGAUUUUGGUACUGCUAAAAUAAUGGAAGAAGAAACUGAACUUUACUCUAUUGUUGGAACUGAAGAAUAUUUGCAUCCAAAUUUAUUUGGGAGAGCUUUCAUCAAUGAUGAGUCAAAUGGAGUUAAAGAUGCAGAUGCCUGGAGUUUAGGAGUCAUGUUAUAUCACGUUAUAACAGGACACAUUCCUUUCCAAACUCAAGCUGGGUAUCGGAGAAACCGCCAACUCAGGUAUGAAAUGCUUUCUAGAAAACCCAAUUUAGCAAUAUCAGCCAAUGAAACAGAAACUGAUGCUAUUUCCUGGGAGACAGAAUUACCAGAAACAUGCAAACUUUCAAGUAUUAUGAAGAGAAAAUUUGAGAAGAUUAUCAGACAUUUGUUUAUAACAUCCAAUGACAGUGCCAGUAUACAGGAUUACCUUAACAAAAUUGAUAACAUUUUGAAUAAAAGAGAUAUAUCUAUAUUCCAGCCAUCCACUGGAAGAUUGGUCACGUGUUACCUGGAUAAGAAUGCAAAAAUUCCAUAUCUGAAAGACAAAAUUGCGAAAGAAUUCAACAUUAGAUCAGAUGAACAAAUGUUAUUUUUCAAUUUUAUUGAAGUGACUUCUGACUCCACUGCUAUUUCAUAUUUUACAUCCAACAAAAAGAAAAAGCCUUUGCUUCUCAUCGAAAAAUGCCCCGUGUAUAUUGAACUAGACAAUUCAUCAUAUUUAAAGGAAAUUGUACCAAGCAGUAGCACAAUACUUUCUUAUGCAAAAGACGUAUGUUCUAUUCUACACAGAAUUAAGAAAGAGUUUAAAUGCAAUGUCAGAACCUAUGAUCACAUCUAUCAUGCAGUUUGUAUACUGAACUCAUUAACAUUAUCAGAAAUGCUGACCUGUGAAGAACUAAUAAAGAACUUUGAACUUUCAGAAAUUGUAAAGGACAAGGCUCAGAAUAUCCAUAAUUGUGAAAGCCUUUCAUUUGAUACCAAUCCUAAUCAGUUGGGUUCCUUCAUAGCUGUUUUCAUGGGAUUAAAUUAGUUGUGGUUAACUCCACCCUGACCACACUCCAGCCUAGCCCUGGCCAUUCUCCAACCCCAUCUUGGUUGCUCCCAACCUGUCUUCUAUAAUAUACAAAAGCACUAAAGCUCAGUAUAAAGAUGUGAAAGAUCUUAUAGAUAAACUGAAAUCAAAUGAGUUUGACAGUAAAACUCUG
rnacentral:misc_RNA from 1 species